GACCGCGUAGCUCAGUUGGCAGAGCAUUGGGCUAAUGGGCUAGUAUUCCAAAGGUCGUAGGUUCGAUUCCCACCGUGGCCA